rnacentral:rRNA from 1 species
UAAUACGGAGGGUGCAAGCGUUAAUCGGAAUUACUGGGCGUAAAGCGCACGCAGGCGGUUUGUUAAGUCAGAUGUGAAAUCCCCGGGCUCAACCUGGGAACUGCAUUUGAAACUGGCAAGCUAGAGUCUCGUAGAGGGGGGUAGAAUUCCAGGUGUAGCGGUGAAAUGCGUAGAGAUCUGGAGGAAUACCGGUGGCGAAGGCGGCCCCCUGGACGAAGACUGACGCUCAGGUGCGAAAGCGUGGGGAGCAAACAGGAUUAGAUACCCUGGUAGUCCACGCUGUAAACGAUGUCGAUUUGGAGGUUGUGCCCUUGAGGCGUGGCUUCCGGAGCUAACGCGUUAAAUCGACCGCCUGGGGAGUACGGCCGCAAGAUUA